CCUACGGGUGGCAGCAGUAGGGAAUUUUGCGCAAUGGGCGAAAGCCUGAUGCAGCAACGCCGCGUGAGUGAGACGCCCUUCGGGGUGUAAAGAUCUGUCAGUGGGGGCGAAACGUGACGGUACCCACAGAGGAAGCACCGGCUAACUCCGUGCAAGCAGCCGCGGUAAUACGGGGGGUGCAAGCGUUGUCCGGAAUCAUUGGGCGUAAAGAGUUCGUAGGCGGCACGUAAAGUCUGGUGUUAAAGGCACAGGCUCAACCUCUGUACGGCACUGGAUACUUGCGAGCUAGAGUGCGGUAGAGGUAAGGGGAAUUCCUGGUGUAGCGGUGAAAUGCUUAGAUAUCAGGAGGAAUAUCGGUGGCGUAAGCGCUUUACUGGGCCGUAAUUGACGCUGAGGAACGAAAGCCAGGGUAGCAAAUGGGAUUAGAUACCCGUGUAGUC
rnacentral:rRNA from 1 species